CCUACGGGUGGCAGCAGUGAGGAAUAUUGGUCAAUGGCCGGAAGGCUGAUCCAGCCAUGCCGCGUGAAGGUCAGUGCCCUUUGGUCGUUAAACCUCUUUUGUGCGGGAGCAAUAAUGGUCACGUGUGGCCAGACGCGACUACUGUCCGCAUAAGCAUCGGCUCAAUCCUUGCCAGCAGCCGCGGUAAUACGGGGGGUGCAAGCGUUAUCCGGAUUUAUUGGGUUUAAAGGGUGCGUAGGCUGUGAGGUAAGUCAGCGAUCGAAGGCCCCGGCUCAACGGGGUGAAGUGCCAUUGAUACUGGCUGGCUGGAGUGCAGAGGAGGUGAGAGGAAUUUGUGGUGUAGCGGUGAAAUGCAUAGAUAUCAGACAGAACACCGAUUGCGAAGGCAGCUUACCAGGCUACUACUGACGUUGAGGCACGAAAGCGUGGGGAGCAAACAGGAUUAGAUACCCGAGUAGUC
rnacentral:rRNA from 1 species